AGUUAAGGUUGCUUGUAGAUGCUACGACGCGAGGCAUAUCCGUGGGCCAUAUCCGAGGCUUUCAGUGUUGAAGAUAGCCGUGGAGAAUGCGAGUCUUCAAAGUAUCCGUAGGCUAAAACCAGUGUUGUUUAGAGGCCAGUACUUAGAUAAUGCUAGAAAAUAAAUUAGUUGCUACGACAUUUUCGGCAAGCAAUUCAACUUUAGAGGAGAUUUAUGAUGCUGUAGCUGUUGUGAAGUUUCCGUUUCUUAUGCUUUCUAUAGUUGCCAAGAAGCAUUUCCCAAUUCUACUGAUUGACUACCUCUGGAGACUGGUUGGAGUGGCAAUGGGUGGACAACUGCACAAUCAAUUGACAGGAGCUGGGAUUGUCACAGUCCGAGAUUUCGUCGACCUUCCUGGAUCAAUCAAGACUGAGAAAUAUUGUGGGUGGCAGAAUCUCAGAUGCUAUGUGGAAACAUACUUCGGGGCAUGUUGCAUUAUGUCUCCUAUGACAAGGAGUAUGUUUAUUAUUUCGAUGAAGGCCGAUUGAAUGACAUUUGUUUCAACUGGAACUAUGAGCUUAAAUGACUCAUCCGUAAUGGAUAAUUCGUCGGUGUGAAAUCACUUUCCAGAGGUCAAAAGGUUGUUUCCCAUGAUGGGGAGAGUAUUGAGAACUGCCUGCGAGCUACAGUUUGUCAUGGCAUGAGCUCCAUGCUGAUGACAGUUGAUCUGCUUCAAUGACUUAUCUUUUUUCGAGUACAAGUUGAUAUGCUUCUU